UAGUCUUUAUUUCAGCCAAUCAGAGAGCAGCACUACUGAAAUAGAACUUCCAGGACGUAACAGCGUGUCACACAUGUGAUGUCAUAACCAUUGUCCACCAGAGAGUAGCACUGAGCAGAAAUAACACUGCUCCUGUUCAUUCUUCAUCAGUGAGGGGCCGGUGCUGGACACUGUAAUGACGCGGGAAUGCAAAGUCAUGCACAUGACUGUGACUGAUGCACUAUCUCCAGGACAUGGAGUAGCAUUUCCGCACCUACAGCAAGACGUUGGAUGAAGGCACAGCCCCAGAAAUAACACUGGUCCUGUUCAUUCUUCAUCAGUGAGGGGCCGGUGCUGGACACUGUAGGGACGCGGGAAUGCAAAGUCAUGCACAUGACUGUGACUGAUGCACUAUCUCCAGGACAUGGAGUAGCAUUUCCAGACCUACAGCAAGACGUUGGAUGAAGGCACAGCCCCAGGAAUCACGCACAUACACAGACACAUUUGCCCAAAUUAUAGAGGUAACCUCCUUUAGUAUGCCCAGAGGAAGGGCAGUACAGUAGCCAUGGAUUCCCUACAGGUUUCCUCCCCUCUGGAGGUUUUUCCUGUCCUGAGUAUUAGUUACUGUACGCUCUUUGUGAGUGAUGGGAGGUUACAAAAAAUCCCCUACACAAACAUUUUAAUAAUAAAUAAAAUUCCCCUUUUUUUAAA